CAUCAUGGGGACAGGGUGGCCAUGGGGUUGGGGUCAUCCUUAGGAACAGGACGGCUUUGGGGUCAGGGACAUUGUUGGGGACAGGGUGGCCAUGAGGUCAGGAUCAUCAUGGGGACAGGGUGGCCAUGGGGUUGGGGUCAUCCUUAGGAACAGGAUGACUGUGGGGUCAGGGACAUUGGGGACAGGGUGGCUGUGGGGUCAGGGUCAUCAAGGGGACAGGGUGGCCAUGGGGCUGGGGACAUUGGGGACAGGGUGGCCGUGGGGUUGGGGACAUCAUUAGGGACAGGGUGGCCAUGGGGUCAGGGACAUCCCUGGGGACAGUGGGGCCAUGGGGCUGGGGACAUUGGAGACAGGAUGGAAAUGGGGCUGGGGACAUCCUUGGGGACAGGAUGGCCGUGGGGUUGGGGUCAUCAUUAGGAUGGCUUUGGGGUCAGGGACAUUGUUGGGGACAAGGUGGCUGUGGGGUCAGGGACAUCAUGGGGACAGGAUGGCCAUGGGGUCAGGGACAUCCUUGGGGACAGGGUGGCCGUGGGGUUGGGGUCAUCAUUAGGAACAGGACAGCUUUGGGGUCAGGGACAUCCUUGGGGACAGGGUGGCUGUGGGGUCAGGGUCAUCACUAGGUACAGGACGACUGUGGGGUCAGGGACAUUGGGGACAGGGUGGCCAUGGGGUUGGGGUCAUCCUUAGGAACAGGACGGCUUUGGGGUCAGGGACAUUGUUGGGGACAGGGUGGCCAUGAGGUCAGGAUCAUCAUGGGGACAGGGUGGCCAUGGGGUUGGGGUCAUCCUUAGGAACAGGAUGACUGUGGGGUCAGGGACAUUGGGGACAGGGUGGCUGUGGGGUCAGGGUCAUCAAGGGGACAGGGUGGCCAUGGGGCUGGGGACAUUGGGGACAGGGUGGCCGUGGGGUUGGGGACAUCAUUAGGGACAGGGUGGCCAUGGGGUCAGGGACAUCCCUGGGGACAGUGGGGCCAUGGGGCUGGGGACAUUGGAGACAGGAUGGAAAUGGGGCUGGGGACAUCCUUGGGGACAGGAUGGCCGUGGGGUUGGGGUCAUCAUUAGGAUGGCUUUGGGGUCAGGGACAUUGUUGGGGACAAGGUGGCUGUGGGGUCAGGGACAUCAUGGGGACAGGGUGGCCAUGGGGUUGGGGUCAUCAUUAGGGACAGGACAGCUUUGGGGUCAGGGACAUUGUUGGGGACAGGAUGGCCAUGGGGUUGGGGUCAUCAUUAGGAACAGGACGGCUUUGGGGUCAGGGACAUUACUGGGGACAGGACGGCUUUGGGGUCGGGCACCCCACGAGGACAUCACCGUCCCCAUCCCCUCAUCCCCCCACAGAGCUCCCGUCCCCCCCGUCCCCCCCGCUGUCCCCAUCCUCC
rnacentral:lncRNA from 1 species